GUAUUGAUUGCGUGUGACCGCAAAAACAAAACAUUCUAGACUGUAUCGAAUUUUGUGUGAAAACGUGAGCCCUCCUGCAAAGGGGGGACCCGCGCGGUGAUGCACAAAGGGGUGAGAUGGAUUUUGUGCGAGAGCGCUCGGGCGUGCACGACCUUUGAAGGUCAGCGACAGCCCUUGCAUGCCCCUCACAUUUUGUACGAUAAUGAUCCUUCCGCAGGUUCACCUACGGAAA
rnacentral:misc_RNA from 1 species